rnacentral:rRNA from 1 species
GAGUUUGAUCGUGGCUCAGAUUGAACGCUGGCGGCAUGCCUUACACAUGCAAGUCGAACGGCAGCAUGAUCUAGCUUGCUAGAUUGAUGGCGAGUGGCGAACGGGUGAGUAAUACAUCGGAACGUGCCCUGUAGUGGGGGAUAACUAGUCGAAAGAUUAGCUAAUAUCGCAUACGACCUGAGGGUGAAAGGUGGGGGACCGCAAGGCCUCAUGCUAUAGGAGCGGCCGAUGUCUGAUUAGCUAGUUGGUGGGGUAAACGGCCCCACCGAAGGCGACGAUCA